rnacentral:rRNA from 1 species
UAUGUAGGCGGAUUAAUAAGUUUGAAGUGAAAUCCUAUAGCUUAACUAUAGAACUGCUUUGAAAACUGUUAAUCUAGAAUGUGGGAGAGGUAGAUGGAAUUUCUGGUGUAGGGGUAAAAUCCGUAGAGAUCAGAAGGAAUACCGAUUGCGAAGGCGAUCUACUGGAACAUUAUUGACGCUGAGAUGCGAAAGCGUGGGGAGCAAACA